rnacentral:rRNA from 1 species
AAUCAACGCUGGCGGCGUGCCUCAGACAUGCAAGUCGAACGAUUAAAGCUCUCUUCGGAGAGUGCAUAGAGUGGCGCACGGGUGAGUAACACGUAAGUAAUCUACCUUCGAGUGGGGAAUAACGUCCGGAAACGGACGCUAAUACCGCAUAAUGCAGCGGCAUCGCAAGAUGACAGUUGUUAAAGGAGCAAUUCGCUUGAAGAGGAGCUUGCGGCAGAUUAGCUAGUUGGUAAGGUAAUGGCUUACCAAGGCUACGAUCUGUAACCGGUCUAAGAGGACGGUCGGUCACACUGACACUGAAUAACGGGUCAGACUCCUACGGGAGGCAGCAGUCGGGUAAUUUUGGGCAAUGGGCGAAAGCCUGACCCA